CCGGGCGAACGGGUGCGUAACACGUGAGCGACCUGCCUUUCCGCGGGGAUAGCCGGCCCAACGGCCGGGUAAUACCGCAUACGCUGCGCUGGGGGCAUUCCCGGCGUAGGAAACCUCCGGGGCGGAGAGAGGGGCUCGCGACCUAUCAGCUAGUUGGCGGGGUAACGGCCCACCAAGGCGGCGACGGGUAGCUGGUCUGAGAGGAUGGCCAGCCACAUUGGGACUGAGAUACGGCCCAG
rnacentral:rRNA from 1 species